rnacentral:rRNA from 1 species
GUGAGGAAUCUUCCACAAUGGGCGAAAGCCUGAUGGAGCAACGCCGCGUGAAGGAUGAAGGUCUUCGGAUUGUAAACUUCUUUUAUGAGUGAAGAAUAUGACGGUAACUCAUGAAUAAGCACCGGCUAACUACGUGCCAGCAGCCGCGGUCAUACGUAGGGUGCAAGCAUUAUCCGGAGUGACUGGGCGUAAAGAGUUGCGUAGGCGGUUAUGUAAGCGAAUAGUGAAACCUGGUGGCUCAACGACACAGACUAUUAUUCGAACUGCAUAACUCGAGAAUGGUAGAGGUAACUGGAAUUUCUUGUGUAGGAGUGAAAUCCGUAGAUAUAAGAAGGAACACCAAUGGCGUAGGCAGGUUACUGGGCCAUUUCUGACGCUAAGGCACGAAAGCGUGGGGAGCGAACCGGAUUAGAAACCCGUGUAGUCC